GGUAAGUUUGAUUCUUGCUUAAUCAUUAAUUUUGAAUAUAUUUUAUAUGUAAAUUUUUCUCUUAAUGUAUUUAUGGUUAUGCAAUAUUUUUAAUUGAAUAUCAAGGAGUCUUGGAUUUGGUAAUAUUUUUUGUAUUGGUUAAUUUUGUGCCAGCAGCCGCGGUUAUACAUUAGAUGCUAGUUAAUGAGGUUCGCUUUGUAGUUUUUGAAUCAUUAUAUGGUAUUGAUUUUCUUUUUUUAGGUGGAAUUAUGAUUUUGUUUAUUAUUAUGUAGGCUGCGAAGCUCUUCGGUUAGACUAGGAUUAGAUACCCUAUUAUUCUGAGUGUAAAUAAAUUAUUUUGAGUAGUAUUAGCUAUGUUCUUGAAACUUAAAGAAUUUGGCGGUAUUUUAGUCCUUUUAGAGGAAUCUGUCUUGUAAUCGAUAUUCCGCGUUGUACCUUUCUUUUAUUAUCUUUGUAUACCUCCGUUAUGAGAAGAUUCUUUAAGGAGUAAAAAUUUUCUUUUUUUUUUGUAAAAAUUUAUUUCAGGUCAAGGUGCAGGUAAUAUUUAAGUUUAGAUGGAUUACGUUGUUUUUUAAUUUUUUUGGUUUCUUUUUGAAAAUUUUGAUUAAAUCGGAUUUAAUUGUAAUUUUAUAUAGAUUGUUAUUUUGAAAAGGCUCUGUAAUAUGUACACAUCGCCCGUCACUCUCGUUUUUAAUAUGAGAAAAGUCGUAACAUAGUGGUCGUACCGGAAGGUGUGGCUGGAAUAAC
rnacentral:ncRNA from 1 species